AUUGAACGCUGGCGGCAGGCCUAACACAUGCAAGUCGAACGAGUGGCGGACGGGUGAGUAAUGUCUGGGAAACUGCCCGCUGGAGGGGGAUAACUACUGGAAACGGUAGCUAAUACCGCAUACCAUCGGAUGUGCCCAGUUGGGAUUAGCUAGUAGGGGGGGUAACGGCUCACCUAGGCGACGAUCCCUAGCUGGUCUGAGAGGAUGACCAGCCACACUGGAACGGAGACACGGCCCAGACUCCGACGGUAGGCAGCAGUGGGGAAUAUUGCACAAGGGGAGAAAGCCUGAUGCAGCCAUGCCGCGUGUAUGAAGAGGGCCUUCGGGUUGUAAAGUACUUUCAGCGAGGAGGCGGUACUCGCAGAAGAAGCACCGGCUAACUCCGUGCCAGCAGCCGCGGUAAUUC
rnacentral:rRNA from 1 species